rnacentral:lncRNA from 1 species
AGGUGCCAGCCACCAUACUGUGAGGGAGCUGAAGUAAGCCCACAUGAGGAAGAAUUGAGGUCCCAAGCCAACAGCUGCAGCUAAGAUCCAAGCUCUCAACCAGUACCAGUUCAUCCGUUAUGCACACUAAGAUAUGGAAGCUAAAAGAGGACUAAGAGGAUUCUGGGGAUAUUACAAGAUAUUGCAGACUAUCUUGUUUUCCUGGAAAAGGAUUUUACCUCAGUCGACUGAAUUACUUUUUUCACUGUGUCUUGCCACUCUUCGUGCAUGCAUCAAAGACCCUAAUAUGACUUCUGGUGGCCUGGGACUCCUUGGGAAAACAGAAAAGGGGCCACAAAUCCCAUUUUGGGAACAAUCUGUUUUACUCAUGGAACCCCUGGAAUUAGAGGUGUGUAAGUACCUCUCAAAAUCUGUCUUUGUCUUCUGGCUAUGCUUUUUAUGAGGCCCUGGAAUUUGUAGUCCUAGCCCUGUUCUUAGAGUGUCUCACUAGGAGGCGUAAUAAUCCAAUUAGGAAACUAGCCAAUGAAAAAUCUCAUAACU